CCUGAUAGGUCGGGUUGGAAUUUUGUGUACCCCGUUUAGUUUCUUCUUGCAGUAGUUCGUGGGGAAGUAAGUUAAUGGCUCUCCAAACCAGUGUUUCGCAUAAUUUUAUUCGCAUAAUGGAGGGAAGAUAAGAAUAACGAAUGGAACUUCGCUCGAAUACGUAAUGAUUUGAGAUCUUCCUUUCCACCAAGGACAGCCCAUAUCCCUCGUAUUACGAUUAAUAAAGUCCGUCAACCACGAAAGAAGCGUCAUAUUUGCGGGUGUCUCCUUGAACGAGUUGGGCACCGCUUCGAGGAGUAUGUGUCGGGGGGUGGUUAUUUUAAUUACUGUCCGGCGGCUUUAAAUUAAAGAGCUGGGUUAUUCCGGUGCCGACCAACCCCUCUACUCUUCCUUCUGCUUCGGUGACUGCUCCAGGCGAAUUGCCAACGAACUACAAUUUCAAUAUGCUGCGUUCAAUGGGGUACUGCUUUUACGAGAAUCAGCACCCGACUUUCCAAACUUGGGAUAUUAGCUCUUCAGGAGACUAAGGGUAAGGGAAUCUGUCGGUAGUACUGAUUACCGGUUUGAAGGAACCUGAGCUUGUUCAGUGAGUAGAUCAGACAAGUGUCGACGCGUUAAAAGUUCAAUGCCCGACUUACACGUUCGAAUGUAUAUAUUCGGGAGACAUAUACGGGAGAACGUUUCGUUAAUUUCAUCGGAAGGGAAAGUAAUCCGUGAAAGAUCUCGAUGGAAGCACGAAGCAUUUGUUAUAUUUAUUUGAUGUUUAAG